UGACGUGAGGGCGAUCUGGCUGUAACAUCUGUCACUCCACUGAUCGCCAGGGUUGACUCGGCUGAUCUGGCUGGGUAGGCGGGUGUCCCCUUCCUCCCUCGACAAUCCAUGUGCAUCCCUCCAGAAGCUGUGCAUUGGGUUGAAUUCAGAUGACCUUCUCUAAUAAAGUGGGACUGGUCUUCAGUCAAGGGUAUACCAGUAGCUGCGCUCCCCUGCUAGAACCUCCGAACAAGCUUUCAAGGAAAAAGUAAUUCUUUAAAGUUUCCUUAGCUACAAUACUUCUUACGAUUCACGUUCCCAGGAAAAUCUUGAGUA
rnacentral:snRNA from 1 species